rnacentral:rRNA from 1 species
CCUACCCUUAGGACUGGGAUAACCCUGGGAAACUGGGGCUAAUACCGGAUAGGCAAUUAUUCCUGCAAUGGUUUUUUGUUUAAAUGUUUUUUCGCCUAAGGAUGGGUCUGCGGCCGAUUAGGUAGUUGGUUAGGUAAUGGCUUACCAAGCCGUUGAUCGGUACGGGUUGUGAGAGCAAGAGCCCGGAGAUGGAACCUGAGACAAGGUUCCAGGCCCUACGGGGUGCAGCAGGCGCGAAACCUCCGCAAUGUGAGAAAUCGCGACGGGGGGAUCCCAAGUGCCAUUCUUAACGGGAUGGCUUUUCAUUAGUGUAAAGAGCUUUUGGAAUAAGAGCUGGGCAAGACCGGUGCCAGCCGCCGCGGUAACACCGGCAGCUCUA